rnacentral:rRNA from 1 species
UGAGGAAUAUUGCACAAUGGGCGCAAGCCUGAUGCAGCAACGCCGCGUGAGGGACGAAGGCCUUCGGGUCGUAAACCUCUUUUCUGGGGGACGAGUAAAGACGGUACCCCAGGAAUAAGUCUCGGCUAACUACGUGCCAGCAGCCGCGGUAAAACGUAGGAGGCGAGCGUUAUCCGGAUUUACUGGGCGUAAAGCGUACGCAGGUGGCUUCGUUAGUCGGACAUGAAAGCUCCUGGCUUAACUAGGAGAGGUUGUUCGAUACUGCGGGGCUUGAGGUUGGGAGAGGGACGUGGAAUUCCCGGUGUAGUGGUGGAAUGCGUAGAUAUCGGGAGGAACACCAGUGGCGCAAGCGGCGUCCUGGCCCACACCUGACGCUGAGGUACGAAAGCGUGGGUAGCAAACAG